rnacentral:rRNA from 1 species
GUGGGGAAUAUUGGACAAUGGGCGCAAGCCUGAUCCAGCCAUGCCGCGUGAGUGAUGAAGGCCUUAGGGUUGUAAAGCUCUUUCACCGAUGAAGAUAAUGACGGUAGUCGGAGAAGAAGCCCCGGCUAACUUCGUGCCAGCAGCCGCGGUAAUACGAAGGGGGCUAGCGUUGUUCGGAUUUACUGGGCGUAAAGCGCACGUAGGCGGAUCGUUAAGUCGGGGGUGAAAUCCUGGAGCUCAACUCCAGAACUGCCUUCGAUACUGGCGAUCUUGAGGCCGGAAGAGGUGAGUGGAACUCCUAGUGUAGAGGUGGAAUUCGUAGAUAUUAGGAAGAACACCAGUGGCGAAGGCGGCUCACUGGUCCGGUACUGACGCUGAGGUGCGAAAGCGUGGGGAGCAAACAGGAUUAGAUACCCGUGUAGUCC